UACGUAGGGACCAAGCGUUGUUCGGAUUUACUGGGCGUAAAGGGCGCGUAGGCGGCAAUUCAAGUCAGCUGUGAAAUCUCCGGGCUUAACUCGGAACGGUCAGCUGAUACUGCUUUGCUAGAGUGCAGAAGGGGCAAUCGGAAUUCUUGGUGUAGCGGUGAAAUGCGCAGAUAUCAGGAGGAACACCGGUGGCGAAGGCGGUUCUCUGGGCCUUACCUGACACUGAGGAGCGAAAGCGUGGGGAGCGAACAGG
rnacentral:rRNA from 1 species